rnacentral:rRNA from 1 species
GUAGGGUGCGAGCGUUGUCCGGAUUUAUUGGGCGUAAAGGGCUCGUAGGUGGUUGAUCGCGUCGGAAGUGUAAUCUUGGGGCUUAACCCUGAGCGUGCUUUCGAUACGGGUUGACUUGAGGAAGGUAGGGGAGAAUGGAAUUCCUGGUGGAGCGGUGGAAUGCGCAGAUAUCAGGAGGAACACCAGUGGCGAAGGCGGUUCUCUGGGCCUUUCCUGACGCUGAGGAGCGAAAGCGUGGGGAGCGAACAGGCUUAGAUACCCUGGUAGUCCACGCUGUAAACGGUGGGUACUAGGUGUGGGGUCCAUUCCACGGGUUCCGCGCCGUAGCUAACGCCUUAAGUACCCCGCCUGGGGAGUACGGCCGCAAGGCUA